rnacentral:rRNA from 1 species
UAGAGUUUGAUCCUGGCUCAGGACGAACGCGGGCGGCGUGCCUAACACAUGCAAGUCGAGCGGGGAACCCCUUCGGGGGUUUCUAGCGGCGGACGGGUGAGUAACGCGUGAGCAACCUUUCCUUCACAGGGGGAUAACGCAGCGAAAGCUGUGCUAAUACCGCUUAAGACCACAAUGUCGCAUGGCAAAGGGGUCAAAGGAGCAAUCCGGUGAAGGGUGGGCUCGCGUCUGAUUAGCUAGUUGGCGGGGUAACAGCCCACCAAGGCGACGAUCAGUAGCCGACCUGAGAGGGUGAUCGGCCACACUGGGACUGAGACACGGCCCAGACUCCUACGGGAGGCAGCAGUGGGGAAUAUUGGGCAAUGGGGGAAACCCUGACCCAGCAACGCCGCGUGAGGGAAGAAGGUUUUCGGAUCGUAAACCUCUGUCCUCAGGGACGAAGAAAUGACGGUACCUGAGGAGGAAGCCCCGGCUAACUACGUGCCAGCAGCCGCGGUAAUA